CAGUUCUACAAGAGAGAAGGAAAUCUAAAUGGGCUAGAAGAACUAGCCCACACGGAAGCAAAGAACCAGACACCAGGCAACUGUGCAGAAGGCCGCAGACAGGGGAGAUGGUUUAAAGAGUCAGAGGAAUUGAUAAUACAAUGAAGCGUGCAAAUAGUAAAAGGUCUUAAAGACCAGAGACGUGGGUUUGAAAGCAAAUGGCUAUAACCUACUCCAUCUCUUUGAUAACACUGAAAACUGACCUGGGGGGUGGGAUCCUUGGAGAGGGGGAAAAAAAAAAAAAAAAAACCUACUGAUAAGAAUCUCUGGAAAAAAAAAAUAGUCCUAUUAUAACAUGUGUAUCCAGGGGCAUAGAAGCCAGAACAAAAGGACUGAAUUAGAGGGGAAAAUGUUAAAAUAAAAUCUAAGGAAAAUAAAAGCCUGGAAAUUAAAGCAGUUAACAUAGCAGUUUAAACCAAAAUCUUCUGCAGGAUUACAGCUCUGUGACAUCCUUUAGACAAUACUAGAGAGAAUAUCCCAAAGAAGACUUAGCCAGCUAAAGACUAAAAAUUGUGAAAAAUCAUUUUACAAGUUCUUUCUGGAUGUGUUACACUUACACACAUUAUUUGUAUUACAACUCCUUUUAAGUAGAGUGAUGCAGAUACUCUUCAACCAGGGAUCCCGAGAAACUGCACCUGUCAGCUGGAGACACUUACGCUACAGAAUAAUUAUCACUUUACUCUCAAGUUUCUGAUGGGAGAUACCAGACUACAGCUGAGUUGCUGACAGCUGAGAUGGGAAUAUGCACCUCGACAGUAAUUAUUCACAGUCUGUGUUCCAGCAGGAAUACUUUAAUUAAGAGAUCAAGGAAUGUGGCUAUGUAAGACUUCUUCAAUGGUAAUCCAGCUACAGCAGUGUCAUUGAUGCCAUUAGCUCCGAAGAGAGGAGAGGGCUGUGAGGAGAGACAGCAGAAAAAGCAAGGCUUUCCUCAUCUAUGUUAUUAUGUAACACGAGUCCCUAAGUCACCAGGGUACUGUGUAGUGGAACAGAGAUCCUGGGCAGGAAGCACUUUAACACUGCCUGCUCCUUGUUAGCCACCACCACCACCCCCUGCUGUUAAAUGCCCCCCAUAAACCAGGCACACUGAGAGACUAGGGCUAGCCUCUCUGUAAAUUGCCUAAAAAUUCUGAGCAGUAGACAUUACUCAUACCUAUGAAUAAGGCUAAGAGAUAAGCUGAGUAAUCUGCCCACUGUCUCACUGCCUACUGCAGGACAGCAGAUGAACCACAAAGCCCGCACCGUUUUAUGAUAAUCUACUCACCACACAUUCUGUAAGUCAAGAUGAGUAUCAAUGAAACCAAGAAAACGGUGCAUUUCAUGAGAUUAAGGUAAACAGUAUCAAAAGUAGGUGUUUGAAAAGGGCGAGAGGAAGGAACAAGAGCCACUGCAUCCCCACAGCAGAGAAAGAAGUUCGAGGAGACUAAGAAUACAGAGACAGCAAGGACACAUUGAGUGAAAACAACAGGGAAGAGAAACUAGAACAUCAACCAUUUGGAAUGUGAGGCGUAGAAGGGACAUGUACUCUGGCAGGCCUCGUAGAGAGCGAACCACAAAGUCUAAGUUGAACGGAGUCCUAGAAAUAUUCUUUCUGCUAAUCACAUUUUUAGACACUCAUCUGUGGUUCUUAAUAUCUUAGGAGGGUCUUAGGAUAGGGUACCCAGACAGCACUGGCCAAGGCCCCGUGACCACGUAAGCUUCACGGGCCUCUGGAGCCUACAACUACACACAAAUUUGUGUGCACCCGUUUUUCUGGCCAUAAUCUCUCAUAGUCUGGCUACAACCCGCAAUUCUAAAGUAACUUUAAGUCAACAUCUAGUUAUGUUCCUAAGUCAUGGGCUUUUUAAACGGCAUUCAAAAAAGCACUUGCUCAAAUCCCAAAGGCCAACUGGCACAGGUCCUGGUAUCAGAAAGUCCUGGCCUUUGCGGUGAGGUAAAGGGCCGAGGAGACGGCUCUGGAACCUAAGAAGUGAGACACGUUCAGGUUAUAGUGGACUGACGAUGGAGCUCUACUUCCCAGUACCUUCUAGUUCCAUACACAGAAGUGGGAAACAGAGUGAAACUGUUUUCUUCCAAAUGUUUUCCCAAAAGUCCUCCCUCUGAAAGACUGUAUAUAAAAGCCAACAUGUAGCCGACACACAAAUGACAGCAGCAUCCUCAUGCUAUUGCUGAUGUUACUACCACCACCUCCAGCAACGUCAGAGUACUCAUCCACAUGGGUGGACUGGAUCCAUAGCUCUGGUCAUACAAGUAUUUCCACACUGAAACCUGGCAGAAAGAAAGUUGGCAGGGAGCCUGAACAAGGAAUUUUGAGAGAGAAUUCUCUUCAACACAGAGAAGACUUCUAUAAAGAAACUUUGUGUUGUCAUGAGCCACUCCCUUCCCUGGACCCGUAAAUCCUCUGCAUUUGGAUAUUGGAAGCCUGAUAGAAAUAGGCCAUCAGCAACAGGACUCUUGUCAGUAGUUGAAAUCCAGUAUGUUUGCAGAAAUAGUCAAAAUACAGGAAGAAGUAAGGUGCUUCACAGGCCUGCGCUGAAAGCAGACACUGACCCUGUCGGGCUGGUUGCUUUGCUAAAGUCAAAUGUAACUAAAUCGUCUGAGGAGGUCACAUUCAGAGAGGCAGGGAAAGACACAGAUACAUCAAAAUUCCUAUCAAUCCUUUGUAGAAUCAACUCUUGUCCCAUAAAACUGAAUGUAAUCAUUAAUAAGCUAAAUUGAGAAAAAUAUAUGUCAACUUCUUUUACUUUCUCUACUUUUCCUUUGGUGCAGGUGGUAAUAAAAGCAAUAAAAUCAUGAAGAGAUACAGUUGACAGGAGGAAGAUAAAAGCCACAGGCUUAAGUGAUUUUUCCAUUAUCCUAUAAUCCAUCAGGUUGUUUUUAGCUUUAAAUUUCUGGGUAUUCUAUUUCUUAAAUAAGAACGGAAUUUAAGAAGAGUAUAUCAAAAGCAGUUAAAGGUUUGAAAAAAAACAUGAAGUGGGAUUUUCCUUGGAUUGAAUAAUUUGUAGAACUAAAGAAGUACUUUAACCAAUGUCAGUUUCUUGGGUUUUGAUACUGUACAACAGCUUUAUAACAUGUCAUCGUUAGGGGAAAAUUUAGAGGUCAUGGGACUUCAUAGAGUAUUUUUGCAAAUUCUCGAGAAUCUAUAAUUAUUUCAAAAUAAAAAGUUUUUUAAAAAGUGCCUUAAAGUAUAGACUGCACUAUAAUUGAAGACCAGAGUCUUCUGUGAGUCUUCUGACAGAACAGCAAGCUAUAAUUAAACCAAAACAUUUGAUGAGGCAAAAGGGACUGCAGACAUUAGAGACUGACACUGCCUGUAGGCAAGGAGUAGUCAUGAGGACAACUUGCCUGCUUAACAAUCAGAAAAGUAAAAUGUGUAUACACUUUGACCUAAUUUUACUUUCAGAAACAGAACUCACAAAAAGAAUGCAUAAUUCAUUUAAAGAACUCUACAAGAAACAAAAUAAAGACAAUGGCUCUUUUUCACCCAUCAGGGGGAAAAGGUACAUUUGGGAAAUUUGUAGGUUUACUUUUCCUGACUUUCCAAAAAAGUAAAAUUACAAAAAUACCAGGUCAUGAUUUAAUACCUGCAUUGAAAAUUCAUGUUUUAACAAUACCCCCCAAAAUUUCAUUUAAAUAAAAACAUUACUUUGAAUGCCCAUCUACCUUCUGUAGAAAACCUAAGUUUCAUGCAAAUGAAAUACAAACCUGUGCUUUGAUGAUUUGCUAAAUAUAUUAUAUUUUCUUUAUUUUUUGGCAAAUCUCCAUAUAGCAAUAUCUAAAAGAUAAAACAAAAAGAAACAUUAUUUUAACAUUUCAAAACAUGCACUAUUGUAACAAACAAAAUAGGACGAUGUCAAAAAAUUGACAAUACCAUGAAUAUUUCCAUCCAUGAUUAACAAAAAUGAGAUUUCUCUCAGAAGCAUCAGAGACCAUCAAUGGCGCAUGUUUAUAAAGUAGUUAAGUUCAGGGCAGGCUGAUGGUUAGAAAGUGAAACAGAAUGAUCAACAUCCUCAUGAGAAAAAUACGACAAGCAUUUAUUUACUGACUGUUUACAAUAUCUGAAGCUCUUUCUGUAAGAUGCAUUUUCCUUCAAAAACCCUACAGUGCAGUGGAAGAGACAGCCAUGUAAACAGUAACCGUAUAAGACAUAACACAUUUUACAUUACGAAAAUAAGGCACACUUUAUAUUAAAGAACUGUCAAGGGCAGAGCAGAAGCAGUAUUCAUUAGGUGUGGUUUCAGCAGAUGAGAUGAAGGAAGGAUGUUCAUGAAGAGGUGGACAAAGAGAUGGAAGUGGAAGUGUCUGAGGCCCGUGGAGGUACCCCCAGCAGGAUCACAGUCAAACCACGGCUGCAUGCAGAGUUGGUGAGCUGGAGCAAGGAGACCCCAGGGAGAUCUGGACCAGAAUGGGAAAAGACUUUUGAAUACCAAAUUGAAGAUUAAAACUUUAUAUUAUGUCCAAUCAGAUCUUCUGGUCACAACACUCUUCGUUAACAGCCUAACAACUGAAGAAAGAAAAUGACAUUAAUGCAGCAUCUCUGUAGAAAAUUGGAACUAGAUGACACAACAUUCCGGAGGUCAGGGACUCAGACUGAGGUCUCUAUUAUCUUCCUUAGAACACUAUUCAGUGCUAAAGAUGUAGUAUGUCUCUAGAUCCUUGCUCAUUUUUUUAUUAACAAAGUCUAUCAGUACCAAAAAACAAAACCAAAAGGCAAAACCCUAAACCAAUCGCUUGAUCUAUGCAGGAUUAAAAAGGGAGUUCUUGCUUGUGAACGAUCCCCACUCUCUCUCCAGAGCACUGGGUACAACGCACUGCGCUUCAGUACUGCAGCUACACAACCGUCGUGUUUUGGCUUAGGUUCUCUGGAUGUGAUAUUCGCAUUUAAAGUCUCAGUCUAAUUGAUUCAACCUGUCCACCACUCUUUGGAGACCUGCCUGCCCCCAAGCUGAAGCCAGCACUUGAACCAUCCAAGGAGAGACUCUCCUUUUCCUUCCUUGCUCUGAGCUUGUUAAUAGACUGUCGGGCUGCAGCCUUUGAAGGCAGAUAACAGGUUAUUAAAAGGCAUUUUUUAAAGUUUGAUUACAGUUAUGCAUAUUCCAACUGCAUAGUGGUCGGCAGCACUGGCUCUGAAAGAAAUCGCCCAGGGCAGAGCGUAGGAGAUAGAAGUUUAUUGAACACACCGCAAGAUAGGCUAGGCAUGGGUAGGACGGCCAAGGAGAGACUGUCCGCCUGGAGGCAGGGGUGAAGGGUUGUAGCUACAGGGUGGAGGCAUGCAGACACAUGCAAUUGUCCCUCUUUUGGUAACAGUGCCAGGUUGGAAGCAGCCCUUUGGUAGGUGAGGGCCCACGGCCAUUUUCAGGU